rnacentral:pre_miRNA from 1 species
GAUUUCAACUAAAAAAAUCAUCAACAACAAAGUUGUAUAACUCGUCAAUAUCUAUAACUUUUAUUUUGGUCAUUUCUUCAUCCGAUAAAGUAAUAGUAAUAUUGUUCAUAAAAUUUGCAUAUAUCUCUUAUAGUUUAUACACUAUAUAAGAGAUAUCUACAUUUUAUGAACAAUGUUACAAAUCACUUUAUCGGAUGAAGAAAAACUAUAAGAGAGAUAUACAAAUUUUAUAAACAAUAUUACUAUUACUUUGUCGGAUGAAGAAAUGACCAAAAUAAAAUUUAUAUAUCUUGAUGAGUUAUACCACUUUGUUAUUGAUGUCUUUUUCAGUUGAAAUC